rnacentral:rRNA from 1 species
CAGUCGCCGCGGUAAUACGUAGGUGGCAAGCGUUGUCCGGAAUUAUUGGGCGUAAAGGGCUCGCAGGCGGUUUCUUAAGUCUGAUGUGAAAGCCCCCGGCUCAACCUGGGAGGGUCAUUGGAAACUGGGAAACUUGAGUGCAGAAGAGGAGAGUGGAAUUCCACGUGUAGCGGUGAAAUGCGUAGAGAUGUGGAGGAACACCAGUGGCGAAGGCGACUCUCUGGUCUGUAACUGACGCUGAGGAGCGAAAGCGUGGGGAGCGAACAGGAUUAGAUACCCCAGUAGUCCCUGUCUCUUAUAC